rnacentral:rRNA from 1 species
GCCUGAUGCAGCCAUGCCGCGUGUAUGAAGAAGGCCUUCGGGUUGUAAAGUACUUUCAGCGAGGAGGAAGGCAUUAAGGUUAAUAACCUUAGUGAUUGACGUUACUCGCAGAAGAAGCACCGGCUAACUCCGUGCCAGCAGCCGCGGUAAUACGGAGGGUGCAAGCGUUAAUCGGAAUUACUGGGCGUAAAGCGCACGCAGGCGGUCUGUCAAGUCGGAUGUGAAAUCCCCGGGCUCAACCUGGGAACUGCAUCCGAAACUGGCAGGCUAGAGUCUUGUAGAGGGGGGUAGAAUUCCAGGUGUAGCGGUGAAAUGCGUAGAGAUCUGGAGGAAUACCGGU